AACGAACGCUGGCGGCAUGCCUAACACAUGCAAGUCGAACGAGACCUUCGGGUCUAGUGGCGCACGGGUGCGUAACGCGUGGGAACCUGCCCUUAGGUUCGGAAUAACUCCCCGAAAGGGGUGCUAAUACCGGUUAAUCUCUUCGGACCAAAGAUCUAUCGCCUUUGGAUGGGCCCGCGUUGGAUUAGCUAGUUGGUAGGGUAAAAGCCUACCAAGGCGACGAUGCUGAGCUGGUCUGAGAGGAUGAUCAGCCACACUGGGACUGAGACGCGGCCCAGAAUCCGACGGGGAGCAGCAGUGGGGAAUAUUGGACAAUGGGCGAAAGCCUGAUCCAGCAAUGCCGCGUGAGUGAUGAAGGCCUUAGGGUUGUAAAGCUCUUUUACCCGGGAUGAUAAUGACAGUACCGGGAGAAUAAGCUCCGGCUAACUCCGUG
rnacentral:rRNA from 1 species